rnacentral:lncRNA from 1 species
CAUAUAUAUAUAUAUAUAUAUAUGUAUAUGUAUAUAUAUUUAUGUGUAUGUAUAAAUUGUAAAGGGUUUUAUUUGGUGAUGUUUAUGGUAAUGGUUUUACAUCAGUUGAUGCUUCCAGCCGCCGGCUGAUUAUUUGAUUGUUUUGUUGUCUUUCUGUGAAUGUGACUGGAGUUUAGAUCCUGCCAUCGAAGGAAAGACCACUUAGCGUGGAAGGUCACUUAGCUCCAGUCUCAACCAACACUAUUUGUAAACUAUGACUAUUGGCUUUGAAAUAUAUAUUUUUUUACCAUAUUGUAACACUUGUGGAAUUUACAACGAUCCAGGUACCCAUUAUAAUGGACCUUGUUUUCAGCCCCUUUCUAUAGCACAUGAGCAAAUGAGAGUUCCAGCUGCUCUAGCUCUACAAACUCCAGCAACUGGACAAGCUCAUAUCUUGGAGUCACACACCUCGGUGCUACGAGCUCGCUCAUAUACGACUGUGUUUUCAGUUUACUUAUGUUUCACCUGUAAUGUUUGUGAAUAUACAAUUUUAUUAUGAAAAG